GCCUUGUAGCUCAGCUGAUAGAGCAUGAGACUCUUAAUCUAUGGGUCACGGGUUCGAGCCCCACAUUGGGCA